rnacentral:rRNA from 1 species
GACGUAGGGUGCGAGCGUUGUCCGGAAUUAUUGGGCGUAAAGGGCUCGUAGGCGGUCUGUUGCGUCGGGAGUGAAAACUCAGGACUUAACCCUGAGCCUGCUUCCGAUACGGGCAGACUAGAGGUAUGCAGGGGAGAACGGAAUUCCUGGUGUAGCGGUGAAAUGCGCAGAUAUCAGGAGGAACACCGGUGGCGAAGGCGGAUCUCUGGGCCUUACCUGACGCUGAGGCGCGAAAGCUAGGGGAGCAAACAGG